CUCGCACUAUUUGAAAAUAACGCUUUGAUCAGUGGCAGUGCUACAAAUCCUAUAACCCCUACAAUUUAUCAUUUGAUAUUUACAGAUCGAGUUUAUAUUUUACACAAAGGAAUUCAUUGUUCUCAGGCGUCGAUCUGUUCAUUCACAAUUGGGUUUUCGCCGCUUUUUCGCACAGUUUUACUCAUUGUUUACGGGGGCAAAAUAGGA
rnacentral:lncRNA from 1 species